AUAAGGUGUUGCAGGGGAGUUAGUCUGUGCAGGAUAAGGUGUUGCAGGGGAGUUAGUCUGUGCAGGAUAAGGUGUUGCAGG